rnacentral:rRNA from 1 species
CGCAGCCGCGGUAAUUCCAGCUCCAAUAGCGUAUAUUAAAGUUGUUGCAGUUAAAAAGCUCGUAGUUGAAUUUCGAGACCGGUUUACUGGUCGUGCUUUUGUACGUACUGGUAUUAUUGGUUUCUCCUUUCUGACGAACUAUAAUGCCAUUAAUUUGGUGUUUUAGGGAAUCAGGACUGUUACUUUGAAAAAAUUAGAGUGUUUAAAGCAGGCUCACGCUUGAAUACAUUAGCAUGGAAUAACGGAAUAGGACGUUUGAUUCUAUUUUGUUGGUUUCUAGGAUCGACGUAAUGAUUAAUAGGGAUAGUUGGGGGCAUUAGUAUUCAAUUGUCAGAGGUGAAAUUCUUGGAUUUAUUGAAGACUAACUACUGCGAAAGCAUUUGCCAAGGAUGUUUUCAUUAAUCAAGAACGAAAGUUAGGGGAUCGAAGACGAUCAGAUACCGUCGUAGU